rnacentral:rRNA from 1 species
AUUGAACGCUGGCGGCAGGCCUAACACAUGCAAGUCGAGCGAGCGGCGGACGGGUGAGUACUGUAUGGGGACUGCCCGAUAGCGGGGGAUAACUACUGGAAACGGUGGCUAAUACCGCAUCCUAUCGGAUAACCCAUAUGGGAUUAGCUAGUCGGUGGGGUAAAGGCGCACCUAGGCGACGAUCUCCAGCUGGUCUGAGAGGAUGAUCAGCCACAUCGGGAGUGAGAAACGGCCCAGACUCCUACGGAGGCAGAAGUGGGGAAUAUGGCACAAUGGGCGCAAGCCUGAGGCAGCCAUGCCGCGUGUAUUAAGAAGGCCUGAGGGGUGUAAAGUACUGUCAGCGGGGAGGCGUUACCCGCAGAAGAAGCACCGGCUAACUCCGUGCCAGCAGCCGCGGUAAUAC